CACGGGGGGAACGCGAAGAACCUUACCUGGACUAGAAUGUGAGGGAAUGUCGGGUAAUGCCGGCAGUCCGGGAAACCGGACCCAAAACAAGGUGCUGCAUGGCUGUCGUCAGCUCGUGUCGUGAGAUGUUGGGUUAAGUCCCGCAACGAGCGCAACCCUUAUCAACAGUUGCCAUCAUUAAGUUGGGAACUCUGUUGAGACUGCCGUUGAUAAAACGGAGGAAGGUGGGGAUGAUGUCAAGUCAUCAUGGCCUUUAUGUUCAGGGCUACACACGUGCUACAAUGGACGGUACAAAACGUCGCAAUCUCGUAAGAGGGAGCUAAUCGCAAAAACCGUUCUCAGUUCGGAUUGAAGUCUGCAACUCGACUUCAUGAAGUUGGAAUCGCUAGUAAUCGCAAAUCAGCAUGUUGCGGUGAAUACGUUCCCGGGUCUUGUACACACGC
rnacentral:rRNA from 1 species